CAACAUGGUGAAACCCCCAUCUCUAGUAAAAAUACAAAAUUAGCUGGGCAAGGUGGUGCCUGCCUGUAAUCCCAGCUACUGGGGAGGCUGAGGCAGGAGAAUCAUUUGAACUCAGGAGGCAGAGGUUGAAGUGAGCCGAGAUCAUGCCAUUGCACUCCAGCCUGGGCAACAAGAGUGAAACUCUGUCUCAAAAAAAACAAAUUUGCCAUUAUAACAUGCAAUUAAGACUACUAGAAACAGUUUUACAUGCAAGGUGUAUAAGAACAGUAGAAAGUGUUGGGGGUUUUUUUGUGUGUGUGGAAGGUUACAAAAGGUUUUUGCUUCUUUAAAAUUUCUGAGUCAUCAUUUUGGCAAAAUAAAUAGUUUACGGUAAUCUGGAAUUCCAAAAUCAAACUUCAGUUUCAAAAUUGUCUUUCCUAAUGCCUGGCUUUCUAGAUGAAUCAGAGGGCCCCUGAAAACAUCCAGAAAAGAGGUAAACAGGAUUAUUUGACAUGUUUAGGUACAUGGGAUUGACAAAAUGAUGUUAAAUCUUCUUUAGGUUAUAUUUUUGUGAAUAAUAUAUUCCAAAAUUGUAUGGGAUUUCUCAAAUUCUAAUGUCUAAGUAUAUGUUACCAAUCACAAUUAUAAUUAUGUUAAGUUAUUGUAAACCACAAAAAUGACCAAAUUUUCUUGUAUAAAGCUACUAACCCACGUAAAACAACAACAACAAAAAAUUAAUUACAUAUCAAGAAAAGACUUUCAUGUUAAACCAGCUAAUACUGAAAUUGUUUAAAAUAGUUUAUAACCUGUCGCUUUGCAGAUGCCGUCACUGCCACCAGGAGCCCUGUACUAUCAGCCAUGGUCAACCCCACCGUGUUCUUUGACAUCGCAGUCACGGCGAGCCCUUGGGUCACGUCUCCUUUGAGCUGUUUGCAGACAAGAUUCCAAAAACAGCAGAAAACUUUCAUGCUCUGAGCACUGGAGAGGAAGGAUUUGGUUAUAAGGGUUCCUGCUUUCACAUAAUUAUUCCAGGAUUUAUGUGUCAGGGUGGUGACUUCAUAUGCCAUAAUGGCACUGGUGGCAAGUCCAUCUAUGGGGAGAAAUUUGAUGAUGAGAACUUCAUCCUAAGGCAUACACGUCCUGGCAUCUUGUCCAUGGCAAAUGCUGGAUCCAAUACAAACGGUUCCCAGUUUUUCAUCUGCACUGACAAGACUGAGUGGUGGAUGGCAAGCAUGUGGUCUUUGGCAAGGUGAAAGAAGGCAUGAAUAUUGUGGAGGCCACGGAGCGCUUUGGGUCCAGGAAUGGCAAGACCAGGAAGAAGAUCACCAUUGCUGACUGUGGACAACUCUAAUAAGUUUGACUUGUGUUUUAUCUUAACCACCAGACCAUUCCUUCUGUAGCUCAGGACAGCACCCUCCACCCCAUUUGCUCGCAGUAUCCUAGAAUCUUUGUGCUCUCGCUGCAGUUCCCUUCCAUGCCUAGCUGGACUGCAGAGUUGAGUUAAAGUUUAUGAUUAUGAAAUAAAAACUAAAUAACAACAAAAAAUUGUUUAUAACCAAUGCUUGAUCCCAUAUUCCUAGGAAAACAAUUAAAGCUUCAGGUAUAUUUGGUCUUCUGGUCAGCCAUUUAAACAUUUUAUAAAGGGAUUUCAUUCCAUUGUUAUUUUCCAUGCAUGUUUUCUGGUUGUAGAAAAGCUUUCCCAUGCAAGAGGGCUGAUGUUAUAACAGUAGAUUAUUAUGCUACAGUGUAUUUUCACCAGAUUAAAAAAAAAAGCUUUUUAUGGUUUGAAUCUGCUGGAAACAUCAGAGAAAGACUGUCCUUGCCAUCUACACUAUAACAAAACUUCAGGACCUUGAACUUUGGGUUCAUAAUCUCACAACUGAGAAGGGCCCCUCCAUGCUCUUGGAGCUGUGCACCCACUGGAAUGCUUAAGGUAAAACUAACUAGGGAAAUUUCUCCCAAGAAGAAGAUGACAUCAUUGAUGUGAACAGCUUUUCCCAAGUUCACAGAUUAAGACUUCUACUAUCAUGAAACUCUUAUUUUUGAAUAUUUUUUCUUGCUUAUGCCUUCUACGAACAAUAGAAGUGGAAAAGGGGUCUGUUAUGUGCACUUAUGGGGAACAUUUUUAUUUGUGAAGGAGUUUGCAGCCAGCCUUAUACAUGGAUAAAGGCCCAAUGUAUGUAAGAAACUUUAAUGGUAGAUGUGUUAGCUCAUAAUCAAUCAAAAACAAAAAAUUGAUUCACUCCACAUAACCCACAUCGUGGGUUAAAGAGAACAUUGCCAGAAGUCCUUCACUCUUCUGAAAGGGCAUCAUUUGUUAGGUCCUUUUUCCAUGGUUUAAAGUAAAAGAAGCAAUGAUUAGAAAUGUAUCCCUCAUGAUAGGUUCCAUAGCAAAUUCUACUCUAAAGGCUACAGACUCUAAAUUCUCUUGUGAAAGUUAUAAUAGAAUUGGCUAAACAGCGAAGUAUCUGUGCAGCUGCUGGCACUUGUGGCCUAUACAGAAAUACAUCAAAUGAAGACUAUAGAAAUUCAGUGGUAGGAGACUGACAAAGAAAUUGAUUAGUCAAGUCUCUCUCUGUUGCCCAGGCUGAAGUGCAGUGGCGUGAUCUUGGCUCACUGCAACCUCCGACUCCCAGGUUCAAGCAAUCCUCCUGCCUUGGCCUCCCAAGUAGCUGGGAUUACAGGUGCACGUGACCACACCCAGCCAAUUUUUGUAUUUUAGUAGAGAUGGGGUUUCACCACGUUGGCCAGGCUCAUCUUGAACUCCUGACCUCAAGUGAGCCACCUCACCCAGCCGUGAGUAAACUGUAUCUAGCUCAUUCUUAGAUCCAUUUGAUUUUAGGAGGUUUGGUUUAUGGGGACCUUGGGUAAGGAGUAUACUCCCAAAUUCUUGGUAUUAUCCUCCUAAUAGCCAUAAUAAUGGUCUCCCUGACGAGCUGUAUGCUCUCAAAGGUUUUAAAUGCUUGCAUGAGCCAUCUCUAGAAUGUCAUAUGGUCUCUCUUCAACUGGAAUAACAGGAGCUCAAAGAAAUAUGCAACCAUGAGGACACCAUAACCUAUAAAUGACAUGCUGAGACCAGAAACCCAAAAUGAUGGUAACUGAGAGUGGCACUGAGGCCCUAGGUUUUGGUCACACUCUCACCUAAGUGAAAACCUGAUCAAAAAGGGAAUUUUUUUCAACAAAAUUCUGGGAGGCCGUUGUUUUGGACUGAUCUCAUGCACUAGGCCCCAACAAACCAAACAAAACCAAAAUGGGGCCACUCAUGCCAAGACUUUAAGGAAACACAUAGAUUCUAGAAAAGACUAGGUUUUGUUUUUUCUUCUGCAAAUCACUACAACAAACAUUUCUGACAGUAUAGGUAUCCACCCCCUAAAGUUUCCAUUAAAUCUUUUAACCAAAUUCAUUUCCUCUCACCUAGAGACCAUCAAGCUUCAGAUGAUCAUGUAACAAAGGUUCCAGCCAGUUCCAAGUGAAGACACCACCCCUGGACAUCAAGAAGCUACCCUUCCUCCACUAGAUAGAGCAGGGUGAGAGUUCCAUGAUCCCCAAUAGGUAGGGACUAUGCCCCAAGCCAGCAUGAAGCAGUUACAGAAAAAAGACCAUCGGUCCCUCUGCCUCCCAUAAAGAUUUAUGGGGAUCACAUCUCUUGAAGGGGCAGAUGAGGCAGGAAAAUAGGGUCUGAAGUGUGAAGAUCGAUUCACACUUCAGCUAUAACAGGAAAUAUCCUCUCCAUAGGGUGUAUGACUAUGUAACUUGAAUACUUCAUCCUCUCCAUUUACAUAAGGUGUAUCUGAAGUAACCAAUGGAAUCCUCUGGGGGUAAAUGCCCCACAAUUCUGUAACGGGACCUUUGAGCCCCUACGCUCCGCCUGCUCCCACACUGUGGUGUGUAUGUUCAUUUUCAAUAAAUCCCUUCAUUCCUUCCUUACUUUGUCUGUGCAUUUUGUCCAAUUCUUUGUUCAAGACGCCAAGAACCUGGACACCCUCCACCGGUAACAAAGGGGCUUAAUAAAAUAAGGAGUUGCUACUGAGGGUCUAGGAAGUGGUGAAAAGGGAAGAGAGGAGGAAGCAAGGAUAACUAGAGAUCUAUGUGAAGUGAGCACGGGACAGAAGCACUAAUAGGCCUAGGAGAGAGGGGGAGGAAGGAGAGACCCAGCGGGGCGCAACCUCCCAAGCCCAGCACUCAACCUUGAAUAGGGUGGGGUGCGGGGUGGGGGGAGCUCCCUGCCACCAACCAGCUAUCAAAAGGGGCAGUUUGGACUUUAAAGGAGUUGUGAGAGAGGGAGGGAGCAGCUGAAGCCCCAACACAAACUAGCCUGCCUUCUCACCCACCCCCAGCCCAGUCAUCAAGCCGGCCAACACAUCUUACCCUUCCCUCUUCGUGACUGACCCAUUGGAAUGCUCUGAGUUGUAAAGACCUUUCACUUAAAGGAAAACGUACUGUCCCUCCUGGUCUCCCCUCCCAGCCCCCAACCACCCCUGCGCCACCUCCGUUCCCUCUCAACCGGACUCUUAGCAAAGAACCCAGGUGUGGCUGAAAGGCUGCCCACCGUGGGAACAGCUUUAGCAGUUUUCCCAGGAAAAAGCCACAAGCCCUGGAGGCACAGAGGCCCAAAGACAAAAAAAAAAAAAAAAGGCCUUUCCUCCUAGCAGGAAGCAAGCCCGAUUCUUGGGAAAGGGAAGGGACAGACUCAGAGCCUCAGGGCCAAGGGGUGAGAUCCAGCACCCCAGCAGGACAGGAAUCUAGCUGGGUGACCUCUCUGAGCCUCAGUCUCCUCCUCUGACCAUGGGGACAACAAACUUCGCUUGCAAGGCCUGGAAGAAGAUCAGAAGUUGGACAGGAGAGGUCCGGCCGCGCGGACGUCACCUUAGCGCGCCACUGUCGGCUCCGGUGGGCUCGGGUGAGCUCGGGUGAACGCAGCGAGCGAGGGCAGAGGCCAGCAGAGGCGAGGAGUGGAUGCUGCAGGGCCGCAGGCCGGGCAGAGAAACGCAUACCGGGUCGCUCCCUGCUUCGCCGCCGCCUCCUGGCAGGGCCAGCGAAGCCAGUGCUCCAGCGCCCCCGUAACACCUCAAAGCGCACGGAGUCCGUGUUGGGGAACUUGGCGGCAGAGUGACUGGGACCUAGGACCUGCGGUGGGGCCGCCGCCGCCUCCGCGGGGCCGAGCGCCUGGACCUCGCCCUGAGGUAAACGCGGGUCGACCCGGGGGGCGGAUGGGCUCGGGCUGUGUCGAGGGGAGGCGGAGGUGAGCGACCCGCGAAGAGCGCAGGAGCAGGCCGGGGGCCACGCUAGGGCGGACCCAAUUUCGGAAUAGCGCGGCCCGGGCGGCGGCGUGCGCUGGGAGGAAUGCUGGGUCUGUCGCUAGCGCCAAACUUGACCACGCUGCGACCUUUUCACUCUGUGCUCUGACCUUCAAAUCUCCCUCCCCCGAUUUUUUUUUUUUUUUUUUUUUUGAGACAGAGUUUCGCUUUUGUUGCCCAGGGCGGGAGUGCAGUGACAUGAUCUCGGCUCACUGCAACCUCCACCUCCUGGGUUCGGGCGAGUGUCCUGCCUCAGCCUCCCGAGUAGCUGGGAUUAUAGACCCCCGCCACCAUGCCCGGCUAAUUUUUUUUAUUUUAUUUAUUUAUUUAUUUAUUUAUUUAUUUAUUUUUGUAGUAGAGACAGGGUUUCACCAUGUUGGCCGGGUUGAUCUCGAACUCCUGUCCUCAAGUGAUCCGCCUGCCUCAGCCUCCCAAAGUGCUGGGAUUACAAGCGUGAGCCACCGCACCCGGCCUUCUCCCAAUUUUUAAAACUCGCUGGCUGGGCUGACAGCUACAGGGCCAGGAAUUCAAAACUUAGCCUCACCAGUCUCCCCUCCUCAGACCGAGGAGGUUGUUUUGUUUUGUUUGAGACAGAAUCUCACUCUGUCGCCCAGGCUGGAUUGCAAUGGUGCGAUCUCGGCUCACUGCAACCUCUGCCUCUCCGGUUCAAGCCAUUCUCCUGCUUCAGCCUCCCGAGUAGCUGGGAUUACAGGCGCCUGCCACCACACCCAGCUAAUUUUUGUAUUUUUAGUAGAGACGGGGUUUCAUCAUGUUGGCCAGGAUGGUCUCGAACUCUUGAUCUCAAGUGAUCCGCCCACCUCGGCCUCCCAAAGUGCUGGGAUUAUGGGUGUGAGCCACCAUGCCUGGCCAGACCUGGGGUUUGGACCCAUUAAAGAGCUUCCUUACAGAUGGCUGGCGGUCUUGCCACCAAUUGUUUCAAAAGUAGAUGUCUGGUUUAGAGUACUUAAGACAUUCACAGAUUCAAAUGUUGAAUUUUGAAAUAUCCCUGAUAUAUUUCUGUAUUGUAUUACCAAAAAAAAAAAAAAAAAAGAAGUUAGACAGGAGUUUGGAACCAGAGAACAGCCUGUUGGGGGAGUGGGGACUACAGCAGGGCUACCCAGGCCCCUCCUCCUCCCUGUCCCUUCGGCUCCCACCCUCUGCCAGGCUUACCUGUAAAUCGGGCCAUACUUCUGGAAAUUCUGGACAUGGUGAAGGUGGACUUUGUGUGUGCCCGUCUCCCUCCAGAAAUGGUACAGGUUUAGCCAGCCAUUGUCACCAGGAGAGGGGAUCUCAUUGAAGGGGCGAGGACUGCGGGUGGAGAUGCCAGCUCCCUCGCCAGUGGGCACCCUGAGACGCCCCAGCCCCUCCCUGGGGGCACUCAGAAAGGUCUGGCAGCCUUUGACCAGGACUGAGCGUGGGGGAAGACCCUUGGCCAGCAUGCUGUCCCCACAGCUGUGACUGUACCUGCUCCACUUCAGCGGGGACUGCUAGGAUGACUGUAGCCCUGGGCCACCAGGGCCAAGAUUAUAACUACCAGCUCAAGGCCAUACCAGAAGCUGAUAAAAUGUUCACGUCCUUCCUCCUGCUGCAGGCUCAAACCCGCAGACAGCUCCUCCCCUACUCGGUAUGAAGGUUCAGUCUGGAAUUUCUGCAGCGUGAGGUUCUCCAAAGGACAGGGAGACCCCUCUGUCUCUGCCCUCAGUGCCAGCCCUAGCAGACUCCUGAAAUAUCUGCCUGUGCUUUUGCCUGAGCUGGGGCCUCCCACUGGCCCCUGCAGCGGAGUCCAUGCCCUGGCAGCCAUUGGUCAAGACUGCAGACAACCUGUGUUUGGGGGAAAUGAGGGGCCCAAGAGAAGGUCAGAGCUAUCUUGCCAGCUUGGGCAACAUACGUCUUAGUUAUGGCCCCACUGUAUAGACACACAUCAUUGAACAACAGGGAUAAGUUCUGAGAAAUGCAUCCUUAGGCUAUUUUAUUUUAUUUUAUUUUAUUUUAUUUUAUUUUAUUUUAAGAGAGUUUCAUUCUUGUUGCCCAGGCUGGAGCGCAAUGGCACAGUUUCACCUUGGAACCCUAAUCCUCGUCGUCUCUCCCCAGUUGACCCAGAUUUGGGGCUGUAAUUCAGUACAGCUGACUCAGAGGGGCUCUGGGUCCCUUGAGCUGAGGUCUGUGGUCAGGCUCCACUCUGGACACACUCUAAGACCUUGGCAAAUCUGGUUGCCAUGGAACUCAGGAUGUCAGCUCUUCCCUGUCCACACACUUGAUCUGUGCUGCUUUCCCCUCAGAGCUGCUUCCAUACCCCCUCCCAUCAUAUCAUAUCCCCAGACCCAUCCUUCCAGCCCAGGUCAGCCCCCACACCCACCCCCCAUCACCCUGCACCUACCACUUUCCCAAACAACAAGGGUCAGUCACCUGUAGAGUUUUCAAGUCAUUUCAACAAAAUUACAGCCCACUUGGUAAAAAUGUGUAGGUCAGAAAACAUACAUGUGCCAUGUAGAGCAUUUCAUGACAGCAAUCUACACUAUACCUUAUACUUAUCAUUGGAAGGUACAACUUCUUGCUUUUUUUCCCCAAAAUCUUAUUUUCUGGCAAAUAAGGCAUUUAAAACACACAUCUAAGAGACAGAAAAUAGACUGGUGGUUGCUUAGAGCUAGGGGGAUAGAGGAAUUAGAGGAUGGGACAUAAAGUGUGUAGGGAUUCUUAGGAUGAUGAAAAUGAAAAUAUUCUAAAGUAUAUUGUGGUAAUUAUUGAACAACUCUCUGAUACACUAAAAGCCAUUGAAUUGCAUACUUUAAAUGGGUGAAUUGUAUGGUGUGUGAAUUAUAUCUCAAUAGAGCUGUUACCAAACACACACACACACACACACACACGAGUGACAUCCUCCUGGCCUCUUCUGUUGUAUGUGUCAGCCCAUAGAUCACCCACAAUGGCAAAAGUUGUCCUUACACAGCCACUUGACCCCAGACUCCAAUACUGUUGAACCACUUUCAACAAAUUUAGAGCAACAGUUUUUAGAAGAAAAAAAAAAAGUACUUAUCAAGAGUGGUUGUUGCUCUUCCCGCUGGAGUGACCACUACCUCAUCAGUCAUGAACCUUCUGAUAAAGAGAGUAUGGAGAAAGCCUGUUUUGCCUCACUGAUGACCUUGAGCCUGGAAUGACAUCAGCCAAGGAAGGCAGUGUCUCACGAGCAGCGGCAGGGUGAUGAGCUUCCACAAAGAAAAGCAGUCUUCCAAGGACUAGUUUUUCCUCCAAGGGUCUCAGCACUGAGGUGACAUUUAUAACUUUCUGACUUAAAGUCAAUCCCAUUGUUCUACGCAGCCCCACAUUCCUCCCUCAGAAGGAGCCCUAAUCGAUGUGGCAUGGAAGAACUUGUGGUCCUCUUGGCAGCCACCCCAACUUCCGUUCAGGCCUCCGCACCUCCCCCAGUGUUGUGGGGCACUGACCGCCUCCCCAGAAGUGGCCCGGGCUGGAGGUUAUUGCCUCAUCCUCUCCAAUGGCCAUGGUCACAUCACAGCAUAGGCCAGCGAUUCAGUUUGGGCCAAUGAAACACAGGGAAAGGUUUGCUGUGGCUUCUGGGAGAAUAGCUCCCUCACUUCUCUGAAAGAGCUUCCAGAAACACAUCACUCACUCCAAACAAGGCUGAAUGUAUUAGCUGUUUACUGCUGCUUAACAAAUUAUCCCAAAAUUUAGUGGCUUAAAACAAUAAAUGUUUAUUAUCUCACAGCUUCCGAGGGUGCAGCACCCAGGAGCAGCUUUUCUGGGUGACUGGGUGGCUGGGUGGCUGGGUGACUGGGUGGCUGGGUGGCUGAGUGGCUCAUGCUCAGGGUUUCUCACAAGCGGCUGCCAUCCCUGAAGCUUGACCAGGGUGUAGGAUCAGCUUCCAAGCUCAGUGGAUUAAACUGGCCCUGCUUCAAAACUUUUCAGUGGCUGUUUCAGGACUAUUGAGAAGAUUAAUGAAUGAUACAUACAUUUCAAAAUAUAUAUAUUACACAUAUACAUGUGUAUAUUACAUAAUUUUUCCCUCCCUCUCUCUGUUCUUGCCAGUGCCCAAACUGAAAUUUUCACCCUCUCAAAAGUGAUGGGAAGUUAGGGUCCAACCCUCACCAAGCCCCUUACGAUGGGCAAGUGAAUCCUCUGCUAGGUGAGGUUAGCCUAGUGCUCGGCUAUGCCAAAGUCCUUCUUGGCUCUCUCAAGACAGGCCCAUACUUAUAGUGCUUUCUCCUCCCACUCCUGCCUCCCACAUUCUGUAACUAUCCUAUCAUUCUCAGAGUAGAGGGUGUACACAUUUAGACCCAUCUAAACGUUGCCUAGGACGGGGAACAUGAUUUUAUUCAUUGCAGGCAGCUUGGAUGGAUAAACAGAAAAUCCAAAUCACAGACUUAAAGAAGAUAGAAGUGUAUUCUCUCUCCCAUAAAGGAUGUCCAAGGCUGGGCAGUCCAGGGUGAGUGUGUCAGUCCCAGCAAAAUGCCAGGCUCCAUCUUCCUGCUUCACCACGAAGACAUUUGGUUGGCAUUUCUAAGGCCACCCGAUGGUCCAAGCUGCUGCUGGAGCAUUAACCGUGUUGCUGGCCAGAAGGCGGAAGAACUCAAGAAGACCAAAAGGGGCCCUCCCUGAAGAGCCAGCUUCAUUUAAGCCCCUUCCUCAAAGUCCCACACGAGUCCAACCAUAUCUGAUUGGUGGGAACUUAACCACAUUGAGGCAGGAGAAUAGGGAAUUAGGGCAACCAAGGAUUAAGGUAGGAACAAAAGAAGAGCAGGUGCAGCCAGUUCACAUAAGCAAAAGGCACAGCAGGUACAGCCAAUUCUAGGCAGGAUUAGGCAACAUACAGGCCACAUCUUCACUUCUGUGAUAACCACAGGCCAAGUCGCCACUUAAGCCUCUAAUUGGUCACGGAUCAAUCCUUCAUUGGAUGUAACUGAUUGGAGGCCUCUGGAGGGCACCGGGGGUGUUCAUGUUCUUUAGCUUAAUAAAAUCUCUAAUUGAAGGGGCUCCUGAGCCACUUGCUCAAGCCCACUCUUGCUCUGUGAAUUGUACUUGCACAUCUUCAAUAAAUCUGUGCCUUCAUUACUCCAUUCUUUCGUUGCUUUGUCUUUUGUUGCUUUGUGCGUUUUGUUCAAUUCUUUAACAUGCCAAGAACCUGGACAACUCAGUCAAGACCUUCCAUUCAGUAACCACAUGACUGUACCUAGGUACAGGGAGGUAGGUACAGGGAGGCUGGACAAUGUCGUUUUGCUCUGGAUGGCAAUACAUCCGCUAGCAGAGGUGCUGGCCAGACCAUAGACAUAAUAAUACAGUUUUGUAUCAUGAAACAAGCAACGGUUUUGGAGCCAC
rnacentral:lncRNA from 1 species